CCUACGGGAGGCAGCAGUGAGGAAUAUUGGUCAAUGGACGAGAGUCUGAACCAGCCAAGCCGCGUGAAGGAUGACUGCCCUAUGGGUUGUAAACUCUUUCUACAUGGGAAUAAAAUGUUCCACGUGUGGGAGUUUGUAUGUACCAUAUGAAUAAGGAUAGGCUAACUACGUGCCAGCAGCCGCGGUAAUACGGAGGAUCCGAGCGUUAUCCGGAUUUAUUGGGUGUAAAGGGAGCGUAGGUGGAUUGUUAAGUCAGUUGUGAAAGUUUGCGGCUCAACCUUAAAAUUGCAGUUGAAACUGGCAGUCUUGAGUACAGGAGAGGUGAGUGGAAGUCGUGGUGUAGCGGUGAAAUGCUUAGAUAUCACGAAGAACUCCGAUUGCGAAGGCGGUUCACUGGACUGCAACUGACACUGAGGCUCGAAAGUGUGGGUAUCAAACAGGAUUAGAUACCCGUGUAGUC
rnacentral:rRNA from 1 species